GUCGGACAUUUUGAUUUUUUUUUGUGCUGGAGAGACACGCAGAGGUGUCGCUCAUUAUAAAUAGUUUCUGUUCGCUUUUCACUCCCGUCAAGGUGACAGGAUACAGUGUCUAGUAUACACUUUAAAACCAAUAGUGACUUUUGUGGAGUUAUUUUUCUUUGUUUCCUGGAGCAAACAAAGAUCCGUUCGCUACGGAUUAUAGGUGGUGUUCCCGAACUUUCUUUUGCCGCUGAGGGAAAACGUGCUCAUGUGCUCGUGGGUCACCAAGGCCGAGUAAACUAAAUGGAUUAUGCUUUCUUUGACCCUGGAUUUUAGACUGCAAAGUGACUUUUCAGCUUGGAGCACUGCUAUAAGCGUUGUGAGGAGAAAACAGAUGAACACAAUGAAAACAAACCAAACAGAGACCGUGAACAUGAACGUUAAUGAAGAAAACAUGAAGAUGAGCUAACGAGUGACACAAAAGCAAGAACUGAUGACAAAAUGAUCAGAAAACUAAUCAGAAACACUCGGGUCUUACCUUCAGCAGCUGCAGUCAUUAGAGGUCAGUGGUGGCUCAGGUAAGGCUCUGGGUUGUUGAUUGGAGCGUCGGGCUUCAAGCCCCAGCACUGUCAAGCUGCCACUGUUGGGCCCUUGAGGAAGGCCCUUAACC